rnacentral:rRNA from 1 species
GAUGAACGCUGGCGGCGUGCCUAAUACAUGCAAGUCGAGCGAACAGAUGAGGGGCUUUCGCCUCUGACGUUAGCGGCGGACGGGUGAGUAACACGUGGAUAACCUACCUAUAAGACUGGGAUAACUUCGGGAAACCGAGUCGAAUACCGGAUAAUAUAUUUAACCUCAUGGUUCAAUAGUUAAAGACGGUUUUGCUGUCACUUAUAGAUGGAUCCGCGCCGCAUUAGCUAGUUGGUAAGGUAACGGCUUACCAAGGCAACGAUGCGUAGCCGACCUGAGGGGGUGAUCGGCCACACUAGAACUGAGACAAGGCCCAGACUCCUACGGGAGGCAGCAGUAGGGAAUCUUACGCAAUGGGCGAAAGCUAGACGGAGCAACGCCGAGUGGGUGAUGAAGGUAUUGGGAUAGUAAAACUCUGUUAUUAGGAAAGAACAAAUGUGUAAGUAACUAUGCACGUCUUGAAGGUACCUAAUCAGAAAGCAACGGCUAACUACGUG